AUUGAACGCUGGCGGCAUGCCUUACACAAGCAAGUCGAACGGCAGCACGGGUGCUUGCACCUGGUGGCGAGUGGCGAACGGGUGAGUAAUACAUCGGAACAUGUCCUGUAGUGGGGGAUAGCCCGGCGAAAGCCGGAUUAAUACCGCAUACGAUCUACGGAUGAAAGCGGGGGACCUUCGGGCCUCGCGCUAUAGGGUUGGCCGAUGGCUGAUUAGCUAGUUGGUGGGGUAAAGGCCUACCAAGGCGACGAUCAGUAGCUGGUCUGAGAGGACGACCAGCCACACUGGGACUGAGACACGGCCCAGACUCCUACGGGAGGCAGCAGUGGGGAAUUUUGGACAAUGGGCGAAAGCCUGAUCCAGCAAUGCCGCGCGUGUGAAGAAGGCCUUCGGGUUGUAAAGCACUUUUGUCCGGAAAGAAAUCCUUGGCCCUAAUACGGUCGGGGGAUGACGGUACCGGAAGAAUAAGCACCGGCUAACUACGUG
rnacentral:rRNA from 1 species